AGCGAACGCUGGCGGCAGGCCUAACACAUGCAAGUCGAACGGAUCCUUCGGGAUUAGUGGCGGACGGGUGAGUAACACGUGGGAACGUGCCUUUUGGUUCGGAACAACUCAGGGAAACUUGAGCUAAUACCGAAUGUGCCCUUCGGGGGAAGGAUUAUCGCCAUUAGAGCGGCCCGCGUCUGAUUAGCUUGUUGGUGAGGUAAAGGCUCACCAAGGCUACGAUCAGUAGCUGGUCUGAGAGGAUGAUCAGCCACAUUGGGACUGAGACACGGCCCAAACUCCUACGGGAGGCAGCAGUGGGGAAUCUUGCGCAAUGGGCGAAAGCCUGACGCAGCCAUGCCGCGUGAAUGAUGAAGGUCUUAGGAUUGUAAAAUUCUUUCACCGGGGACGAUAAUGACGGUACCCGGAGAAGAAGCCCCGGCUAACUUCGUG
rnacentral:rRNA from 1 species